CGGGACACGUGGUAUCCUGUCUGAAUAUGGGGGGACCAUCCUCCAAGGCUAAAUACUCCUGACUGACCGAUAGUGAACCAGUACCGUGAGGGAAAGGCGAAAAGAACCCCGGCGAGGGGAGUGAAAAAGAACCUGAAACCGUGUACGUACAAGCAGUGGGAGCACGCUUAGGCGUGUGACUGCGUACCUUUUGUAUAAUGGGUCAGCGACUUAUAUUCUGUAGCAAGGUUAACCGAAUAGGGGAGCCGAAGGGAAACCGAGUCUUAACUGGGCGUUAAGUUGCAGGGUAUAGACCCGAAACCCGGUGAUCUAGCCAUGGGCAGGUUGAAGGUUGGGUAACACUAACUGGAGGACCGAACCGACUAAUGUUGAAAAAUUAGCGGAUGACUUGUGGCUGGGGGUGAAAGGCCAAUCAAACCGGGAGAUAGCUGGUUCUCCCCGAAAGCUAUUUAGGUAGCGCCUCGUGAAUUCAUCUCCGGGGGUAGAGCACUGUUUCGGCAAGGGGGUCAUCCCGACUUACCAACCCGAUGCAAACUGCGAAUACCGGAGAAUGUUAUCACGGGAGACACACGGCGGGUG
rnacentral:rRNA from 1 species